CCUACGGGAGGCUGCAGUGGGGAAUAUUGGACAAUGGGGGCAACCCUGAUCCAGCCAUACCGCGUGUGUGAAGAAGGCCCUCGGGUUGUAAAGCACUUUCAGUGAGGAAGAACGCCUGGUGGUUAAUACCCAUCAGGAAAGACAUCACUCACAGAAGAAGCACCGGCUAACUCCGUGCCAGCAGCCGCGGUAAUACGGAGGGUGCGAGCGUUAAUCGGAAUUACUGGGCGUAAAGCGCGCGUAGGUGGCUUGAUAAGCCGGUUGUGAAAGCCCCGGGCUCAACCUGGGAACGGCAUCCGGAACUGUCAAGCUAGAGUGCAGGAGAGGAAGGUAGAAUUCCCGGUGUAGCGGUGAAAUGCGUAGAGAUCGGGAGGAAUACCAGUGGCGAAGGCGGCCUUCUGGACUGACACUGACACUGAGGUGCGAAAGCGUGGGUAGCAAACAGGAUUAGAUACCCUAGUAGUC
rnacentral:rRNA from 1 species